rnacentral:rRNA from 1 species
UACAGAGGUCUCAAGCGUUGUUCGGAUUCAUUGGGCGUAAAGCGCGCGCGGGCGGAUUGAUAAGUCAGGUGUGAAAUCUCGAGGCUCAACCUCGAAACUGCGCCUGAAACUAUUAGUCUAGAAUGUCGGAGGGGGCAGGGGAAUUUCACGUGUAGGGGUAAAAUCCGUAGAGAUGUGAAGGAACACCGGAGGCGAAGGCGCCUGCCUGGACGACUAUUGACGCUGAGGCGCGAAAGCGUGGGGAGCAAACAGG